UUUUUUUUUUUUUUUUUUUUUUUUUUUUUUUUUUUUUUUUCAUUC
rnacentral:ribozyme from 1 species